ensembl:snoRNA
ACACGCUGCCUUUGAACCCCCGCGCGCUUCCUCGUGGCGCCGGGGGUCAGGCUGCAGCGCCAGAGCACAGGCUUGCAUAUAACUGGGGCCGCCUGCCUUCUUCACGGGCGGCCCUUUUAACCACCAGCGACGCGG